rnacentral:lncRNA from 1 species
GCUGACACCUUGUAUACACCACGCAACUGUCAUUUCGCCCAGUCUUUGCUUCCUUCCUCCGUCGCGGAUUCGGUUCUGCCUUGUUGGAACUCGAUACAUCCAACGAAGAAACUUGCAAGGUACGAAGACUUUCACUCCACCAGCACCAGGAUUGAGUUGUAACUGCCUUGCAGAUCCGACGACUCCCCGACAACCGAGACCGCGUAAGACGCCGCUGACGACGUAGAUGAGAACGAACACGACGCGGAAGGCGGCAGUGCGAGCAGAGGCGACGAUGGCGAGAGCCUACCGAGCAUUCGUCUCAAGUUCCUCCACCGGCGCUUGGCCGACAGAGACCCACCAGCCGAGGAAGAAGUCGACGGAGAACUAGACAGCGACUUGGAGGUGGCAUUCUCGUCCAGAUCCAAAACCAGUUGGACCACCUGAACCGAUUGCUGCGGCUGGUGCUGGGAAUCGCUAUCGCCCGACGUAGAACUCGACGAGGAAGAGGAGCUAGAAGAAGAUGGCGAUGGUGUCGACGACGACGAUGAAGGAACUAGAUCCGUGGAAGAAGACGUUGGCGGAGAAGUGGUGGUGGCGACGAGAUUUAGAUCCGGAAGAAGCAGCAGCUCUGGGACGAUGCUCUUGGGACAUCCAGCGGAGUUGGAGCUGGACAGGAGGCUGGCACGGCACAGGGGACAAGUGGAGUGGCAAUGUAGCCACAUAUCUAUACACUCGGUGUGGAAGCUAUGGCCGCAUUUGGGGAGAGUCCGGCCAUGAUCGCCCUCCUGGAACUCGCACAGGCAGACCGCGCAGCAAUCGAGCUUGAUCUUGUCGCUCUCGCGGAAGACGAAGAGGGGGAGCGACUGGAUGAUGGACUUGUCCACGCCUAGCGCCGGGGAAUUGGAGAAGAAGAGGGGGUCCGCGGCCGCCGCCGCCUGGAUCUGCUGCUGGAUGGCUUGGAUCUGCUGGAGGUGGAGGAGGCGGCGGCGGCGCGCGGCGAAUUGGGAGCUCUUCCAGAACCACUUGGCGUAGAGGUGGAGCGAGAGGAUGAAGAGGAUGACCGAGAAGAGGACGACAAUGGCGGCAAUCAUGAUCUUGAUGUUCACCUGGUAGGGAUUGGAGUCGCUGCUGCUGGCGAUGGCGCUGGAGCUGCUGCCGCUGGGAUCCAUUGGCGAUUCAACGCCCAUUUCUCUCUCCCUCUCGAUCGAUCGACCGCCAAAUGGGAGAAAUGGAAGAAUGAGAGAGAUUGGGAGAAAGGAGUCGACCUAAAAUGUCACGACACAGAGCAUUGGGCCAAAAUUGUCAACUGGCAUUUCCAAGGCCUCUCUCGUCCAAGUGUGUUGAUUUCUUCGUCGCGGUGACGGGCGGCCCUUCCAAUGGCCGGCUCGUCUCGCCUGUCUCGCCCGUCGCGCCACCCACCUGACGGGCCCUGACGAGUCAACAUUUCACCGUACGCGCGUGGUUCCCCUGGUGGCCCGGUGGAAAGAGCGCUGGGGUUUUAAAGGCCCACCGGAUCGGCGGGAAUAUGCCCGCGGCACGACGGGCACGUGGACGGGGAAAGCGACGGGCCACACGCGUCCGUACAGGUGGUCAGGCCGUCACACACGAAAGGCGGGUGAAACAGUCAACAUGCAGUUAAUGUUAUUCCUUCCUGGGGGGUGGAAUUUGUAAAAAUGGGUGGGUAACUAGUCAACGUGGAAGAUUGUAGUAGUAUAGAGCUGUGUCAGUGAAAUAAUGUUGGGGUACCAUAUAGCGAGAAAAUGGGACCAUGGCUUUUAUUUCUAUUCCAUUCACUGAUAUGGUUCUACAACGUCUUAGUAGCAGCGAUAUAUUUCAUGAAAUCUAUCAGGGCGAAAGGCCGACAACAGGGAAGACUUUUUGAUCAAAGAGAUAAGAUCUGGAAACCAACGAAACAAAGCAAGCGAGAGAAGCGUUUUAGUCAACAGAAAAAAAAGAUCACGUACUAGUUUGCGCUCCAUUUUUUCUUGAUCCACUGGCUUUACCGAUCCAUCCAGAUCGCCGGCAGGAACUUUUUUCUUCGAUCGAUAUAUACGCACACUUUCGUUGUGCACUGCUCGUUUCCAUCCAUGGCGAAUCUCUCUGUCCAUGCCACAACGUGGUGGAGCAUGGGGAUGCUUUAUGCUGCAGCUUUGGCCCAGUCCACCACCAGGCAAUUGUUUGAGUAGCUUCCUGGAGAAGAGAGGUGACCAAAAGAUUUAAGAAACUACUUACUUUGCUCUUGCUCCAUCAGUCUUCUGCAUUUCUGGAAAGAGAGAUAGCAUGAAGAUUUCGAUUC